AGUUGCGAAGGCGGCUCUCUGGACUGUAACUGACGCUGAGGCACGAAAGCGUGGGGAGCAAACAGGAUUAGAUACCCUGGUAGUCCACGCUGUAAACGAUGAGUACUAGGUGUCGGGGGUUACCCCCUUCGGUGCCGCAGCUAACGCAUUAAGUACUCCGCCUGGGAAGUACGCUCGCAAGAGGGAAACUCAAAGGAAUUGACGGGGACCCGAACAAGUAGCGGAGCAUGUGGUUUAAUUCGAAGCAACGCGAAGAACCUUACCUAAGCUUGACAUCCCAAUGACAUCUCCUUAAUCGGAGAGUUCCCUUCGGGGACAUUGGUGACAGGUGGUGCAUGGUUGUCGUCAGCUCGUGUCGUGAGAUGUUGGGUUAAGUCCCGCAACGAGCGCAACCCUUGUCUUUAGUUGCCAUCAUUAAGUUGGGCACUCUAGAGAGACUGCCAGGGAUAACCUGGAGGAAGGUGGGGAUGACGUCAAAUCAUCAUGCCCCUUAUGCUUAGGGCUACACACGUGCUACAAUGGGUAGUACAGAGGGUUGCCAAGCCGUAAGGUGGAGCUAAUCCCUUAAAGCUACUCUCAGUUCGGAUUGUAGGCUGAAACUCGCCUACAUGAAGCUGGAGUUACUAGUAAUCGCAGAUCAGAAUGCUGCGGUGAAUGCGUUCCCGGGUCUUGUACACACCGCCCGUCACACCACGGGAGUUGGAGACGCCCGAAGCCGAUUAUCUAACCUUUUGGAAGAAGUCGUCGAAGGUGGAAUCAAUAACUGGGGUGAAGUCGUAACAAGGUAGCCGUAUCGGAAGGUGCGGCUGGAUCACCUCCUUUCUAAGGA
rnacentral:rRNA from 1 species